rnacentral:ncRNA from 1 species
UACCUGGUUGAUCCUGCCAGUAGUCAUAUGCUUGUCUCAAAGAUUAAGCCAUGCAAGUCUAAGUACGAGCUCUCGUACAGUGAAACUGCGAAUGGCUCAUUAAAUCAGUUAUGGUUCAUUUGAUCGUACAGUUUACUUGGAUAUGU